UACGUAGGGGGGCUAGCGUUGUCCGGAAUCAUUGGGCGUAAAGAGCGUGUAGGCGGUCCGGUAAGUCCGUUGUGAAAGUCAAGGGCUCAACCCUUGAAUGCCGGCGGAUACUGUCGGGCUAGAGUCCGGAAGAGGCAAGUGGAAUUCCCGGUGUAGCGGUGAAAUGCGCAGAUAUCGGGAGGAACACCUAUGGCGAAGGCAGCUUGCUGGGACGGUACUGACGCUGGAGACGCGAAAGCGUGGGGAGCAAACAGG
rnacentral:rRNA from 1 species